rnacentral:rRNA from 1 species
UACGGGGGGGGGCAAGCGUUGUUCGGAAUUACUGGGCGUAAAGGGCUCGUAGGCGGCCAACUAAGUCAGACGUGAAAUCCCCAGGCUCAACCUGGGGAACUGCGUCUGAUACUGGAUGGCUUGAAUCCGGGAGAGGGAUGCAGAAUUCCAGGUGUAGCGGUGAAAUGCGUAGAUAUCUGGAGGAAUACCGGUGGCGAAGGCGGUUCUCUGGGCAUUACCUGACGCUGAGGAGCGAAAGCAUGGGGAGCGAACAGG